rnacentral:tRNA from 1 species
GGAGAGGUGUCAGAGUGGCCGAACGAGCACGCUUGGAAAGCGUGUGUACAGCAAUGUACCGAGGGUUCGAAUCCCUCCCUCUCCGCCA